UACGAAGGGGGCUAGCGUUGCUCGGAAUCACUGGGCGUAAAGGGCGCGUAGGCGGAUCUUUAAGUCGGGGGUGAAAUCCUGGAGCUCAACUCCAGAACUGCCUUUGAUACUGGGAGUCUUGAGUUCGGGAGAGGUGAGUGGAACUGCGAGUGUAGAGGUGAAAUUCGUAGAUAUUCGGAAGAACACCAGUGGCGAAGGCGACUCACUGGACAUGUAUUGACGCUGAGGUGCGAAAGCGUGGGGAGCAAACAGG
rnacentral:rRNA from 1 species